GUCAGCCCCACCAUGAAACUCACCACCUUGCUGGUUCUGCUGUGCCUGUGCUCUGUGCCAAUGGCUAAUUGUAUCUCGGAGACGAAAUCGCUCAAGCACAAUUGGGUUCCUUCACUUACCACGGACACUCGUGGAUAUGACAUAGUACGUGAUGAUACUUACCUAAUGUCUAAGAAGGACUUGAAGAAGGACUUGCAGAUGAGCCUGUAGAAGGGUGAUUUCUCAGGACUUCAAU